UACGUAGGGUGCGAGCGUUGUCCGGAAUUACUGGGCGUAAAGAGCUCGUAGGUGGUUUGUCGCGUUUGUCCGUGAAAACUCACAACUCAAUUGUGGGCGUGCGGGCGAUACGGGCAGACUGGAGUACUGCAGGGGAGACUGGAAUUCCUGGUGUGGCGGUGGAAUGCGCAGAUAUCAGGAGGAACACCGGUGGCGAAGGCGGGUCUCUGGGCAGUAACUGACGCUGAGGCACGAAGGCCAGGGGAGCAAACGGGG
rnacentral:rRNA from 1 species